GACGAACGCUGGCGGCGUGCUUAACACAUGCAAGUCGAACGGAAAGGCCCUGCUUUUGUGGGGUGCUCGAUUGGCGAACGGGUGAGUAACACGUGAGUAUCCUGCCCUUGACUUUGGGAUAACUUCUGGAAACUGGGGCUAAUACCGGGGAGGAGCUCCUGCUGCAUGUGGUGGGUUGGAGAGUUUCGGCGUUGGGGGAUGUACUCGGGGCUUAUGCGCUUGUUGGGAGGGUUGUGAGUUACCAAGGUUAGCACGGGUAGCCGGCCUGAGAGGGUGAUCGGCCACCAUGGCACAGAGACACGGUCCAGGCUCCUACGGGAGGCAGCGGCAGGGAAUCUUCCGCAAUGGGCGAAAGCCUGACGGAGCGACGCCGCGUGAGUGAUGAAGGGCUUCGGAGCGUAAAACUCUGUUAUGAGGGAAGAACAAAUGUGUAAGUAACUAUGCACGUCUUGACGGUACCUAAUCAGAAAGCCACGGCUAACUACGUG
rnacentral:rRNA from 1 species